AUUCCAGCUCCAAUAGCGUAUAUUAAUGUUGUUGCAGUUAAAAAGCUCGUAGUUGAAUUUCUGGUUAAAAUCUUAGCUGGCUUUGGUCGUUAAUGUUUUAAUCAUCCGUUAGAGAACUAUAACCGUCCUUAACUGGUCAUUAUAGAGAUCUAACAUUUUACUUUGAAAAAAUUAGAGUGUUCAAGGCAGGCAAUCGUCAUGAAUACUAUAGCAUGGAAUAAUGGAAUAGGACUUUGGUUCAUUUUAUUGGUUAUUGAACCUUAGUAAUGAUUAACAGGGACAGUUGGGGGCAUUAGUAUUUAAUUGUCAGAGGUGAAAUUCUUGGAUUUAUUAAAGACUAACUUAUGCGAAAGCAUUUGCCAAGGAUGUUUUCAUUG
rnacentral:rRNA from 1 species